GGUGGGGUGGCUGAGCGGCUGAAGGCGCCGGACUUGAAAUCCGGUAACGGGCUUGUCCUGUUCAUGGGUUCGAAUCCCAUCCCCACCG
rnacentral:tRNA from 1 species